AUGGCACUGCAGAUGCAGGCCCCGUCGCUGACGCGCGCGCCGGCGGGGAGCCCCGCGCGGCUCCGGUCGGCGUUCUGCGCGCCGCCGCUGCUUGUGCGGGUCCGGCUGCCAGCGCCGGGCAGGGCGAGGUCCGCGGCGGCGGCGCGGAUCACGAUGCGGUUCGGCCGCGUUGAGACGAAGCAGGCCUACAUCUGCCGGGACUGCGGGUACAUAUACAAGGACAAGACCCCGUUUGAGAAGCUGUCCGAUGACUACUACUGCCCUGUCUGUGCCGCUCCCAAGAGAAGAUUCAGGCCUUACGAACCACCGGUGGCCAAGAACGCCAACGCCACUGAUGCCCGGAAGGCGAGGAAGGAGCAGCUCAAAAAGGACGAGACCGUGGGGAAAGCUUUGCCUAUUGGUAUCGCAGUUGGAAUCGUUGCAUUGGCGGCCCUGUUCUUCUACCUGAACAGUGUCUACUAG
rnacentral:rRNA from 1 species